rnacentral:lncRNA from 1 species
AAACCUGCACAUGGUGAACUUUACUGCAUAAAAAGAAUGUGAAGCCUUGUACAGAUUGACACCUCCAAGCUUUCCACACAUUCCGCCCUUCCAUUUGCCACAACAAUGAGGCAAUUUGACUUCUUGGCAACAUGAUUGAAGAAUGCAGAACCCAGAUCUAGCAGCAGAAGCAGCUACAAUCAGGAGUCACAAAUGAUCCAUGGACAUUCCUUGGGAUCACCACAAACAAGCUUUCUAAUGUAUCAUUUUGCAACCAUAGAAUCACUGAGUAGGGAUGGACCCCAAAGAAAAACAUCCAAAGCUCAAGCAUGCCUAAGAGACAACCUCCAAGGAAGGAGGACCUGUCAUCUUCUAAGAUGCCUGCCCUACAUGGAAAGAGACCAAUAACAGUGUGACAAGUCCAUCCUUUCCCAAGUUUCAGCCUGUCCAAGAAAGCGAAGAUAUGUAAGGUACAAUAUAAACCUCUGGGCUAGAAUUCUCUGUGAUUCCUUCUUUUAAGAAGCAGCCCUGGGCCUCAGUGUUGUUGUUACUGCUAUCUAGACAUAUUACUAUUACUACUUCUAUUGUACUAUUGGAAACAAAUGCUACCUCUCCUGAGUAGACACUUCAGAAAUUGUGUCUUAGAAAGUCUGAGAAAAAUAUGAAAGAUAUUACAAAGCAAUCUUUUCUAGUUGUAGCAUGAGGCAGACACUCAUGUGACCCUUCCGCCUCCCACUCCUGUUGCUCCGAGUGGAUCACAAUAAACCAUCUAUAAUGCAUACCAAGCAAACAAAAUAGUGCUGUUUUACAAGCCUGCAAGUUCCUUUACACGUGUUUUUGUAUUUUUCAGGACAUAGCAUAACAUCCAUAUUUAGUCUCCAGUUGUAUUAACAGAACUCCUCAUGCAUAACUAUUGUCCAUUCUGGAUUGGUGUGCAUCUGUUCAUCUGUGUCUUUAGCAUAUCAUUUGAUUAACUGGAGUUGUAGAAGUAGCAAAUACCGUGUUUCCCCGAAAAUAAGACAGUGUCUUAUAUUAAUUUUUGCUCCCAAAGAUGCUCUAGGUCUUAUUUUCAGGGGAUGUCUUAUUCUUCCAUGAAGAAGAAUUCACAUUUAUUGUCGAACAAAAAAAUGAACAUUUAUUAUAUACUGUACAGUAGUUGUCAUCACAAACCAGCAUAACAAGACAAACUGUGAAUCCUAUCAAGAAUUUCUUAUUACUACCAUUAUUUCCAUGUAUAUGGUACAUACAUUUAUUGAUCCUGCAUACUCUGGUGUUCUGUUCGAUGGGCAUGCUUCCAAACAAAAACUUUGCUAGGUCUUACUUUCGGGGGAGGCCUUAUAUUUAGCAAUUCAGCAAAACCUCUGCUAGGUCUUAUUUUCUGGGGAUGUCUUAUUUUAGGGGAAACAGGGUAUGUUCUCAGUUGCACAAAGAUGAUAUCCAGCAGAAAUAUGGCAUAGCAUAACCAUCCCCAAACUACACUAAAUUUGCAUUGUGUGUGUAUGUGUAUAAUAUGUGCCUUCAAAUCACCAAUGAAUUUCAUAGGGUUUCCUGAGGCAAGGCAUACUCAGUAGUGGUUUUGUCUGUUCUUUCCUCUCAUAUUUGUUGGUUGUCUUCCAUCUAAGAACUAACCAGGGUUGAAUCUACUUAGCUUGUAAGAUCAGAUGGGAUUUGAUGCUUUU